rnacentral:ncRNA from 2 species
GGGAGCCGUAUGACGCGAGAGUGUCACGUACGGUUCUACGAGAGCGCGGAGGUGCAAAUCCUCCGCGCCACUCACC